rnacentral:rRNA from 1 species
UACGAAGGGGGCUAGCGUUGCUCGGAAUCACUGGGCGUAAAGCGCACGUAGGCGGAUCUUUAAGUCAGGGGUGAAAUCCUGGAGCCCAACUCCAGAACUGCCUUUGAUACUGGGGAUCUCGAGUCCGGAAGAGGUGAGUGGAACUCCGAGUGUGGAGGUGAAAUUCGUAGAUAUUCGGAAGAACACCAGUGGCGAAGGCGGCUCACUGGUCCGGUACUGACGCUGAGGUGCGAAAGCGUGGGGAGCAAACAGG